UACGAAGGGGGCUAGCGUUGCUCGGAAUUACUGGGCGUAAAGCGCACGUAGGCAGAUCUUUAAGUCAGGGGUGAAAUCCUGGAGCUCAACUCCAGAACUGCCUUUGAUACUGAGGGUCUUGAGUUCGGGAGAGGUGAGUGGAACUGCGAGUGUAGAGGUGAAAUUCGUAGAUAUUCGCAAGAACACCAGUGGCGAAGGCGGCUCACUGGCCCGAUACUGACGCUGAGGUGCGAAAGCGUGGGGAGCAAACAGG
rnacentral:rRNA from 1 species